UCAUGUGCCUUAUCCAGUCCUUUCAGGUGUAAGAAGCAGGCUUCUAGAACUAUGGUUUUGUCAUAAAAUAAAAGAAUCUUGAAGAUGUGAAAGAUCUUCAGAGGAGUGUAAAUUAGAUCAAUUCAUCCCAAUGCCUCAACGAAUGAGAUGCUGUCCUAUUUCUAAAAUACUUUUCUUGAAAGGCUGGGCGGACUAUGCAGCUACCUACUGAUGGUCAUUGCCUAGAUCCAUUAUUUUACUGGAACUGAAAAAUGGUGCUCUAUCAAUUCCAUCAUUCCUCCUAUGUUUAUGAGUUGGAAUUCUUGUGUAAGGAAAUAUGGUUCAGUGAUCCCAAGGUGAAGUUUCCACCGGAAAAGCAAAGAGAGAGGAGAGAGAGCACAAGCAGGGGGAGC